GAUGAACGCUGGCGGCGUGCCUAAUACAUGCAAGUCGAGCGAAUGGAUUAAGAGCUUGCUCUCAUGAAGUUAGCGGCGGACGGGUGAGUAACACGUGGGUAACCUGCCCAUAAGACUGGGAUAACUCCGGGAAACCGGGGCUAAUACCGGAUAACAUUUUGAACCGCAUGGUUCGAAAUUGAAAGCCGGCUUCGGCUGUCACUUAUGGACGGACCCGCGUCGCAUUAGCUAGUUGGUGAGGUAACGGCUCACCAAGGCAACGAUGCGUAGCCGACCUGAGAGGGUGAUCGGCCACACUGGGACUGAGACACGGCCCAGACUCCUACGGGAGGCAGCAGUAGGGAAUCUUCCGCAAUGGACGAAAGUCUGACGGAGCAACGCCGCGUGAGUGAUGAAGGCUUUCGGGUCGUAAAACUCUGUUGUUAGGGAAGAACAAGUGCUAGUUGAAUAAGCUGGCACCUUGACGGUACCUAACCAGAAAGCCACGGCUAACUACGUGCCAGCCGCCGCAGUAA
rnacentral:rRNA from 1 species